CUGCUGUACCUGGUCAGCAAACAGCUACUUCAUGUGACUGCUUUUAAAAUUAAAUUAAUGUUUCUGAACAUUCCUUUCAUGAGCUAAUAAGUCCUAUCUAAGUCCCAUCUUUUGUUUUUAAGCGUGUUAUGUUAGUUAUGGAGCUGCAAAAUGAAAGAGAGGAGUUUUUAUUCUCAUAUUGCUUGCCCAACCCACAUCGAUUUCCUUCCUUUUUCUUUAUCGAUUGCUUAGUUGAUCAUCCCCACUAGACCAAGUUUUCUUCUAAAAGGAUUUAGAAGUCUAUUGGUCUUUUAUGGAGUCUUCAGUACUACUGUCCACUAUUCACGUGCGAUUUGUCAGUUCAGCAUUGGUUCAACAAUGGCAGUAACACUUUCCCUAAACUUCCUCCAAAGCAAAGAGUUUGUUUCAACAAUGGCAGUUCAACAAGGAUUUGUCAUCAUUGAGUCAACUCGACAACCUAGUUCUCUCACAUGACUAAUCAAGUUGAAGGAACUUUGUUUCAGUUGAUUAUUGAUUUUAAAAUGGUCUAAAAUUUGUCAAUGUUUAAGAUACUUGUCAUUAGUCUUUAAGAUUUAUUGUUUCCUCCAUUGUGAGCAUAUAAUUUUUUUUCCUUUUUAUCAUGGAGUUAUUAGUUGUUUUGUUUUGUUUUGUUUUUCCUCUUUUUAUAAACCUUAAUACUAUACUAUCAUGUUGAUUGAUUAGAUAAUUUAAAGAGUGUCUGCACAUUUUCUUUAUUUGCUUGAAGAGAGGAUGACUUCAUAUGGU
rnacentral:misc_RNA from 1 species